AGAGUUUGAUCCUGGCUCAGGACGAACGCUGGCGGCGUGCCUAACACAUGCAAGUCGAGCGGAGACAGUGAGUAGCUUGCUAUGAGCUGUUUUAGCGGCGGACGGGUGAGUAACGCGUGAGCAACCUUUCCCAGACAGGGGAAUAACACACCGAAAGGUGUACUAAUACCGCAUAAGACCACGGGAUCACAUGGUUCUGGGGUAAAAGAAUUAUCGGUUUGGGGUGGGCUCGCGUCCGAUUAGGUAGUUGGUGAGGUAACGGCCCACCAAGCCGACGAUCGGUAGCCGACCUGAGAGGGUGAUCGGCCACAUUGGGACUGAGACACGGCCCAAACUCCUACGGGAGGCAGCAGUGGGGAAUAUUGCACAAUGGGGGAAACCCUGAUGCAGCGACGCCGCGUGAGUGAAGAAGUAUUUCGGUAUGUAAAGCUCUAUCAGCAGGGAAGAAAAUGACGGUACCUGACUAAGAAGCCCCGGCUAACUACGUGCCAGCAGCCGCGGUAAUACGUAGGGGGCAAGCGUUGUCCGGAAUAAUUGGGCGUAAAGGGCGCGUAGGCGGCUCGGUAAGUCUGGAGUGAAAGUCCUGCUUUUAAGGUGGGAAUUGCUUUGGAUACUGUCGGGCUUGAGUGCAGGAGAGGUUAGUGGAAUUCCCAGUGUAGCGGUGAAAUGCGUAGAGAUUGGGAGGAACACCAGUGGCGAAGGCGACUAACUGGACUGUAACUGACGCUGAGGCGCGAAAGUGUGGGGAGCAAACAGGAUUAGAUACCCUGGUAGUCCACACUGUAAACGAUGAAUGCUAGGUGUAGGGGGUAUCGACCCCUUCUGUGCCGGAGUAAACACAAUAAGCAUUCCGCCUGGGGAGUACGGCCGCAAGGUUGAAACUCAAAGGAAUUGACGGGGGCCCGCACAAGCAGCGGAGCAUGUGGUUUAAUUCGACGCAACGCGAAGAACCUUACCAGGUCUUGACAUCCACUUAAACUUACAGAGAUGUAAGGUGUGCUUGCACAAAGUGAGACAGGUGGUGCAUGGUUGUCGUCAGCUCGUGUCGUGAGAUGUUGGGUUAA
rnacentral:rRNA from 1 species